GACGAACGCUGGCGGCGUGCUUAACACAUGCAAGUCGAACGGAAAGACCCUGCUUUUGCGGGGUGCUCGAGUGGCGAACGGGUGAGUAACACGUGAGUAACCUGCCCUUGACUUUGGGAUAACUUCAGGAAACUGGGGCUAAUACCGGAUAGGAGCUCCUGCUGCAUGGUGGGGGUUGGAAAGUUUCGGCGGUUGGGGAUGGACUCGCGGCUUAUCAGCUUGUUGGUGGGGUAGUGGCUUACCAAGGCUUUGACGGGUAGCCGGCCUGAGAGGGUGACCGGCCACAUUGGGACUGAGAUACGGCCCAGACUCCUACGGGAGGCAGCAGUGGGGAAUAUUACACAAUGGGCGGAAGCCUGAUGCAGCAACGCCGCGUGCGGGAUGACGGCCUUCGGGUUGUAAACCGCUUUCGCCUGUGGCGAAGCGUGAGUGACGGUAAUGAGUAAAGAAGCACCGGCUAACUACGUG
rnacentral:rRNA from 1 species